UACGGAGGAUCCAAGCGUUAUCCGGAAUCAUUGGGUUUAAAGGGUCCGUAGGCGGUUUUGUAAGUCAGUGGUGAAAGCCCAUCGCUCAACGGUGGAACGGCCAUUGAUACUGCAAGACUUGAAUUAUUGGGAAGUAACUAGAAUAUGUAGUGUAGCGGUGAAAUGCUUAGAGAUUACAUGGAAUACCAAUUGCGAAGGCAGGUUACUACCAAUAUAUUGACGCUGAUGGACGAAAAGCGUGGGGAGCGAACGAG
rnacentral:rRNA from 1 species